GACGAACGCUGGCGGCGUGCUUAACACAUGCAAGUCGAACGAAGAGCGAUGGAAGCUUGCUUCUCUCAAUCUUAGUGGCGAACGGGUGAGUAACGCGUAAUCAACCUGCCCUUCAGAGGGGGACAACAGUUGGAAACGACUGCUAAUACCGCAUACGAUCUAAUCUCGGCAUCGAGGAAAGAUGAAAGGUGGCCUCUAUUUAUAAGCUAUCACUGAAGGAGGGGAUUGCGUCUGAUUAGCUAGUUGGAGGGGUAACGGCCCACCAAGGCGAUGAUCAGUAGCCGGUCUGAGAGGAUGGACGGCCACAUUGGGACUGAGACACGGCCCAGACUCCUACGGGAGGCAGCAGUGGGGAAUCUUCCGCAAUGGACGAAAGUCUGACGGAGCAACGCCGCGUGAGUGAUGACGGCCUUCGGGUUGUAAAGCUCUGUUAAUCGGGACGAAAGGCCUUCUUGCGAACAGUUAGAAGGAUUGACGGUACCGGAAUAGAAAGCCACGGCUAACUACGUG
rnacentral:rRNA from 1 species